rnacentral:lncRNA from 1 species
GUCUGUGGUUAAAUGGUGAAUAGAAGUAUAUUGUGUUUGGAUUAGUGACUGGGCAGUAUUACUGGUCACACAUCCAGCACUGGAAUUCAGCGCUCUGCAAUCAUGUGAGGCCAGCAUCUUUUACCKUCUCUGCCCAGAGAUGCAAGAGUCGCGUUUCCCUUGAAGGGCAUCCUGGCUGCCUGGGAGUCGCCUUCCUUGGAACUGAGCUAACUCCGUUAUUCUGAUUCACAUGGACUCAUUCCUUACGAUUUCUUCUUGCUGUUCUUUGAACUACUGUCAAGCACUGUGUUACUUCACCCCUGCUUUUCGAGCUGUAUAUCUUCCUGCGACCUGUCUAUGGAUGCUCUGGGGUGAGAAGCAGCUCUUGCAUGACCGGUGGCUAUCUCCAUACGUCCGCUACCAUGCAGGUGAAGCUUUCAGUUUCAAAAUGAUGACUGAUCAUGGGAUUAAUAAGAUGCAUUGUCCCCAGGAAAAUGUGUGCACUCAUGGAGAACCUCACUGA